AGCAGCCGCGGUAAUUCCAGCUCCAAUAGCGUAUAUUAAAGUUGCUGCAGUUAAAAAGCUCGUAGCUGAAUUUCGGGACUAAUAUGUCGGUCGUGCCUCGGUACGUACUGGCUUAUUGGUUUCUCCUUUCUGAAGAACCAUGAUGUCAUUUAUUUGGUGUCGUGGGGAAUCAGGACUGUUACUUUGAAAAAUUAGAGUGUUUAAAGCAGGCUCACGCUUGGAUACAUUAGCAUGGAAUAAUGAAAUAGGACGCUUGAUCCUAUUUUGUUGGCUUCUAGGAUUGACGUAAUGAUUAAUAGGGAUAGUUGGGGGCAUUAGUAUUCAAUUGUCAGAGGUGAAAUUCUUGGAUUUAUUGAAGACUAACUACUGCGAAAGCAUUUGCCAAGGAUGUUUUCAUUAAUCAAGAACGAAAGUUAGGGGAUCGAAGACGAUCAGAUACCGUCGUAGUCUUAACCAUAAACUAUGCCGACUAGGGAUCGGAUGAUGUUAAUUUUUAAUGUACUUA
rnacentral:rRNA from 1 species